rnacentral:lncRNA from 1 species
AAAAGAGGAAAACUUAUAUUUGGUAUCAAUUUAAAAAAUAUUUUUGUCAAUUAUUUGACCAAUGUCUUGAACUUCUUUUUAAGAAUUAUGCAGAUGUUGUGGUUGUAUCAAUAAUAAAAUUUCUACACAAUUUAAUGAUGUGGUGCAUUCUAUUUGUCACAUGUGUAUUUUUGUUUAUGUUUCACAAAACAACACGUUUUAUAACUGUUCAUAUACCGGUACCUCAUUUCAUGGAAUUGUGUUAAACAAACCUUUGAAAUUGCUCAAUAGAUCUUGCUUGUUACAUGCAACUUUUCACUGAAAUCUUUAUAAUUUUUCCCUAAUCUGUUUUAUUUUUUAUGCCCCACCUACAAUAGUAUAAGGUGCAUUAUGUUUUCUGAUCUUU